CUGCACUAGAUGCUUCUGAGACCAAAAGGUCAUUCUGGCCACAUCAAUGAAUGCAGCACUAUGUCAAAUGUGAGGACUACAGUGAUAAACAGGAAAUGGAUGGCCCUGCUCACAAAGAACUCAGAAACUAGAAGAGAUUCAAAAAAGCAGCAUUGUACCUAAAUGUUUUGGAUGUCAGUCUCCCUGGAGUAACCGGAUUGGAGUCACUGUCCCUGACUCAUAAGCAACGUCUCCAGCUGUGACCAUGGGAGAGGGUGCUGACAGUAGGGAGGCAGCUGGCCAGCCUGCUUUGCUUCCCAAAACGCUCAUGUAGUCACUGCCUCCAGCUCUGCACAAAGCCCCUCGGAGCAGGCCUGCCCCUUGCCUACUUGCAGAGCCCCUUCUGGGC